rnacentral:lncRNA from 1 species
CCUGAGCUGGCGAAGAUGCCCUCCUUUAGAGGAGCGUGCAGACUUGAUAAGGGAAACAGAUGGGCCAACAGAUAAUUCCCAGCAGAGGUGUGUUCAAACAUGAGCCCUGGGGACUAGGUACUAAGCAGAUGGAGGAACAGAGAUGCUGAAGAGAGGGCAACUGUUUACUGCAAUUUUGAUAAAAUUCCCUUUCAAUACGGCCUGUUCCUGGAUAGAGUCCCACCUUUCAUCUGCUUUUAUUCCUAAUCCUGUGGCAAAGCCUGGACCUCCCUUUUCUUCUCAUACAAGCUCGACAGAGCUGGCAUUUUCCUUCUCCAUUUCAGUGACAUGUUUUUCAGUGUUUUGUCUGUUUGUGAAGGGGCAGAAAUGUCAAGGUCAAAAAAGUCUUGGAAAAAAUGAGUAGUAUUUCUGUACCUGCUGAGGGUUAGGUGCUUGGAUGUUAUAUAUCUCUGCAUUCCCACAGUAAAACCAUGUGUGGUUGGGGAGCUUUUCCUUUUUUAACCUCUCUGGGUGGUUGAGGAAUUGGAGGCUCAGAGAGGAGAAGUGACACAGCCCAAGGUGACGCCACCAGGAGCUGAACUUGAAAGCCAAGCCAAGUCCGUCUGACCAUCAAGCGUUGCUCCUAUAAUCAUACUACCUUGCCUUCUGCCUUUGUAAACAUGAGGUGACACAUCAAGCUAGGGCUAUUAAAAUACCCAGAAGCACUUUUCUUCCAAAUAACUCACAAUAUCUUGUCUUUGGGAAGUAUUCAAUAGGUUUAUUUCAGUAAAAGAUACACCAUUGCCAUGGUUUUAGGGAGUGAUUCUGAAUUUUAUGUUACUGAUUAAGAAAGAUGGUUAAUGGAACCUGUUUCCUUAAGAAAUUUACAUCAUAUAUUAGUAAGCUGUUGCUGUGUAGCAAAUCACACCAACACUUAGUGCCUUGAAGUAACAACAUGUAUUAUCUCACAAUUUCUGUAGGUGUGAAAACUGGACAUCAUUUAGCUGGGUCCUGUGCUUCAGGGUAUCUCACAGGCAGCACACAAGGCUUCAUCUGGGCUAUACUCAUCAGAAGGCUGGAUUGGGGAAGAUCUGCUUCCAAGUUUACUUACAUGGUUGUUGGUGGGAUUCAGUUCCUGGUAGGCUGCCAGCUUUAGCUCCUCAUUUCCUGAUGGCUGGAGGGUUCCCUCAGUUCCUUUCCAUGUGGGCCUCUCCAGCAUGGCUGCUUGCUUCAUCAAAGUGUACAAGAAGGGAGACAGCAAUAGGAACAUGUCAGCAAGAUGGAAUCCACAGUCUUUUUAAAGCUAACCAUGGAAGUGAUAUUCCAUCACUUUUGGUGUAUUCUGUUUGUUAGGAACAAGACACUAGGUCCAGCCCACCACUCAAGGUAUGGGAUUACACACGGCAUGAAUACUAUGGGGUGGGGAUCACUGGAAAUUAUGUCAGCAGCUAUCUGUCACACAUGAGAGAAGUGGAGAUGGUAGUCAUAAUAAUAGUCAUCAUCAUCAUAAUAAUAAGGCUGGUGAGGAUAGCCAGCAUUUAUUGGGUGUUCUUGAUGCAUCAGGCACUGGGCUAAAUCCCUUCUAUGCAUUGUCUCCUUUAAUCUCCUCAUCACUCUCAUUAACUUCCCUGAGUUACUACAGCAAAGAGAUUAGGACCAGACUCUGUUGUUUCCACUCCGAAGUCCAUCCCUUUACAUGAUGCAGAUCAUUGAUAAGAAUCCACUGAGCUGCUGAGGCUCCAGGAAAGACCUGAUUGAGAGAGGAGUCUGAUAAACGAAGCUGAACUCACUGCUCCUCAGAAAACUGCAAAUGAACACAACCAGAAGCCAUUUCUUACCCAUCAGAUUGGAAAAGAAAAUGCCUUUGGGAAGCCUGUCCCCACAUCUUCUCUGAGACCUGGAAUCUGGACCUUAUGUUGAGGCUGGGCACCCACAUCUGGGAUGUGAUUCCUUUCUGCCCUCACCCCAUCAUUCUCUCUCUCCAGUUUCCCUGCGAUUUCCUCUUGGCCAUAGCCUGGUGUAAGUUCCAGCAUUUUUGUAUCGCUGUUCUAGCAGAUUUUCAUUUUAGUGCCAAUCCAAGCGCUCUAUCCCUUCCUUGAACUCUUAGUUAGGCCAAUAAAUAUUUAUGUAGCUCAUUGGCAAUUAAUUAGGUGCCUUUGGCACUGCAUCCAAUGGCUUGUAAAUCGACAUAGAGAUUUCACUUCCCCCAUCUUUGCUUCUUGGCUUUCCAGCAGAAAGACAAGCUAAGAGCGGACAGGGAACGUGAUUUCUACUUCUCUGUAUAUGCGUACCCUACACGUAGUAGCAUGCAAUGAAUAUUUAUGGCCUUAUAAAUUUAAUCGGCAUAUGAUUACUUAACAAUAAAGUGAGAACUUUUCCAGAGAGAAAAGACAUCAUCUUGGCUGGGCUCGAUGGAGGGUAGGCUAUGAGGAGCAUUGAUUACACUGAUUUAAAGUGAGGGCUCUGAGGCCAGACAGGUUAGAAUCCUGGCUCCCCACUUACUGAGCAUGUGAUGGUAACCGUGAUGCAAUCUCUCUGUGCCUCAGUUUCUACCUCAUAAUCUAGAAAAAGCAACAGCACUUGACCAAACCCUAAAAUAGCGAUGAGGGACGCAUCCUCUAAACGUCAGCUAUCACGAUUUUAUUAUUUCUUCCAAAUAAGCCUUAUGUUCUUAAGAAAUACACAUGCAGACACACAGGUAGUCUUUACCACAUCCAGUUUUUGUCUAGAGUAUCAGAUUCUUAUCUUUAAAACAUGAAUAACCUGAAUGGUUGUGGCUUUUUUCUCCUCAUUAUACACCUUAAAGGAAGAAAAAAGGAGCUGAUCAAAACCAAUAAAAAAAUACAAACAAAAGAAAAAUCUGGAAUAAACCAAUGUAAGCAAAAUAGGAGAACCUGAGGGAGUAUGAGGAAGGUUGCCCAAUAUGCCCAUGAAGUAAAAGAGAGAUGGGGGAGAUGGCCACCAAUUAAAAUUAAUUAAACAUUUUUAAUGAUCUCUGAUGCUGACCUCAUGCUCCAGGUGCCUGAAACAAAGAAAAGAAAUGCAGAUAAUUGGAUCUUCAUGACAUUUUCCCAACUGGCCACUUUCCCUGUAACAAGACCAAGCCUGUCUCUUCCAUUGUACUCUCGUGAGCUACCUGGGUCAGAACCUGAAAUCUUGGCGCAGAAGUCCUGUGGCCUGGUGCCUGAAACAAAGAAAAGAAAUGCAGAUAAUUGGAUCUUCAUGACAAUUUCCCAACUGGCCACUUUCCCUGUAACAAGACCAAGCCUGUCUCUUCCAUAUGGGUCAGCCAUAUCCCACCCACUCCUCCUGGGAUUUGACUUGGGGAAUGUGGACAGAAUCACACAGUCAGUAGAAGUUGGAAAGUAGGCGGAAGUGGCCACAUGGGGUAGGGACAUAUCAGAGUUAUGAUGAAUCAGAAGCAGAAGCCCCAAGUUGAAGAAGAGAUACAAAGCUUGGAAGCAGGAAGAGAUGGAGCGGACACACAAAGGAAUCCAACACUGGAGAACGGCAACGUAAAGGUGGCGUGCUAGGGGAAAGCUCCAGAAUUCCUGCAGCUGGGCGCUGGAGCCACCCUGAACUUUCAAAGACCUCCCUAUUCCAGUCUCCACAAUCCCAGGUCCUGGUAUGUCCCUGGAUUUGGGGGGAGAUUCUGGCUCCUUUGUAGCACCACAAUAAACCCUUAUUGCCUGAGUUAUCCCAAGUGACUCCCUGUUCUUUAUGGGCUCACAAGCCAACACACC